rnacentral:rRNA from 1 species
UACGUAGGGUGCGAGCGUUAAUCGGAAUUACUGGGCGUAAAGCGUGCGCAGGCGGUUUGUUAAGACAGAUGUGAAAUCCCCGGGCUUAACCUGGGAACUGCAUUUGUGACUGGCAAGCUAGAGUAUGGCAGAGGGGGGUAGAAUUCCACGUGUAGCAGUGAAAUGCGUAGAGAUGUGGAGGAAUACCGAUGGCGAAGGCAGCCCCCUGGGCCAAUACUGACGCUCAUGCACGAAGGUCAGGGGAGCAAACGGG